rnacentral:RNase_P_RNA from 1 species
UGAGUAAGACAGACAGUCGCGUGGCGGCGGCGAAAGCCCCGUCAUGAGGAAAGUCCGGGCUCCAUAGGGCAAGGAUAACGGGUAACGCCCGCCGAAGGCGACUUCAGGAAAAGUGCAACAGAAAUAAACCGCAGAAUCGCGCGAGGGCUCCCUGCCGGGGCGCCUGCGAUUUGAUCGGGCGCUGUCCCAGAGGGGCGGUACCUGAUCUCUGCAAGGAUGGAAAGGCGAGGUAAGAGCUCACCCAUCGGCUGGAAACUGUCCGAUGCUGUAAACUCUAUCCGGAGCAACACCGUGGGAGAACAGGUCGAGCUUGCUCGAUCAGGACCGGCCCGGUCGUUCUCAAGGAGGUGGCUGGAGCGGUUUGGCAACAAACCGCCUAGAUAGAUGACUGUCAGAUACAGAACCCGGCUUAUAGUCUUACUCAAUAU